rnacentral:rRNA from 1 species
GAUGAACGCUAGCGGGAGGCCUAACACAUGCAAGCCGAGCGGUAGAGAUUCUUCGGAAUCUUGAGAGCGGCGUACGGGUGCGGAACACGUGUGCAACCUGCCUUUAUCAGGGGGAUAGCCUUUCGAAAGGAAGAUUAAUACCCCAUAAUAUAUUGAAUGGCAUCAUUUGAUAUUGAAAACUCCGGUGGAUAGAGAUGGGCACGCGCAAGAUUAGAUAGUUGGUGAGGUAACGGCUCACCAAGUCUACGAUCUUUAGGGGGCCUGAGAGGGUGAUCCCCCACACUGGUACUGAGACACGGACCAGACUCCUACGGGAGGCAGCAGUGAGGAAUAUUGGACAAUGGGUGCGAGCCUGAUCCAGCCAUCCCGCGUGAAGGACGACGGCCCUAUGGGUUGUAAACUUCUUUUGUAUAGGGAUAAACCUAGAUACGUGUAUCUAGCUGAAGGUACUAUACGAAUAAGCACCGGCUAACUCCGUGCCAGCAGCCGCGGUAA